UCUCUAGUGGCUCAGACAGUAAAGAAUCUGCCUGCAAUGCAGGAGAUGCAAGAGACCUAGGUUCAAUCCCUGGUUUGGGAA
rnacentral:tRNA from 1 species